AUACGGAGGGUGCAAGCGUUGUUCGGAAUCACGGGGCGUAAAGGGCGCGCAGGCGGUUUGGUAAGUCAGAUGUGAAAGCCCACGGCUCAACCGUGGAAGUGCAUUUGAAACUGUCAGACUUGAGUACUAGAGGGGAAAGUGGAAUUCCCGGUGUAGAGGUGAAAUUCGUAGAUAUCGAGAGGAAUACCGGUGGCGAAGGCGACUUUCUGGCUAGAUACUGACGCUGAGGCGCGAAAGCGUGGGGAGCAAACAGGAUUAGAUACCCUAGUAGUCC
rnacentral:rRNA from 1 species